AUUGUUAGGGAGCUAGGCUUACAUAGUUACGGUAGUGACAAAUAUAUACUCCCACAGGAAUAUAUUUUAAUCCCUUAUAUUAGACAUUAAUUCUAGAUUCUGACUGCUUAUGUGAAAACCAAUACUGCUAUUAUUCCCAUCAUUUAAGUGAAUGUUUUAACACUGUCAAUUUUUUUACAGAAUGUUUUACUUUAUCAAAACAAACAAAAUUACCAAAUCGAAAACCAAAGUACAAAGAUCACUCUGUGAUCAAUAAACCUGAUGGCCCUCAAUACGGAACAACUUAAACACAAAAUCCCAUGAAACGACCUACCUGCUGAUGGCCCCAAAUGCACAUCUCCAGAGUGGCCUCUCUUCUGGACUUUGGCAUCAUACAACCUACAAUCUAUGAUCAGUAGGCCUUAAUGGCUCUACCUGGACGCCUAGCAGGUACUUCACAUGCCCAGAACACCAACAGAAGCCUUGCCCCCUCCAUUCACUCCCCUACUAUCUUCCCAAUCUCAGCAGCCACCUAAUCAGCUACUCAAAACAACCUCGAUGUCAUUCUGGCCCUUAUCCCUUCACACACCAACCCAUAAGGAAUCCACUCCCAGAUGAACUAUGCUUCCGCAGUUGGUCAGCUUCCCUUCAUCUCCACUCUCUGAUUGGCUGACUCUUUAUCAUUCAGAUCUGAGAGCGAAUGUCACCUCCUCAGAGAGGCUUUCCUUACCCUGCCCUUAAGUCCUCUUGACAGUAUUAUGUGUCAUUAUCAUUUAUCACCAUCUGUCAUUAUCAUUUUUGUUUUCUCAGACUUUUUUGGUCUCUCUCCCCAGGUAGCAUGCCAGUUCCCUGAGAAAAACGACUUUGCUUCUCUGGUUUUCUGUCUAGAAGAGUGACUGGCACAUAGUAGGCCCUCAACCAAUAUUUGCUGAACAUAAUUAAGCAGAGGGAUGUAGACUUGAACGUUCAUGGCAGGUUUAGUGUACCUGUGAGGCAUACAGCGGGGCUGCAGGGAGCAAUCAGAAGUGAGUCUGAAGACAAGUUUGAAUAAACAAAGAAAUGACAAUG
rnacentral:lncRNA from 1 species